AAAAAUUCAAGAACAAUGUCCCUGGGCCAUUAGAACUCUAAAUUCCUCAACUAUCCACACAACAUGAGAAUGCUGUCAUCCAUUCCACUGUAAAACAGACCACUCAGUUAAUAUUUCCUUUUUUUUUUAAAUCCUUUAAAGUAUUUACCAAAUUUAAAGUGUAAUAUUCUCCCAGUGCAAAAUAACGUAUUGAAUGUAUUGGAUGUGACUUUGUCUUGUUUGGACUUGUUUUGG